CACGGCGCACGGGUGCGUAACACGUGGGCAAUCUGCCCUCCGAUGGGGAAUAACCCCGCGAAAGCGGGGCUAAUACCGCAUAACAUUCCUUGGACUGCGGUUUGAGGAUUCAAAGCAGUGAUGCGUCGGAGGAGGAGCCCGCGCCCGAUUAGCUAGUUGGUGAGGUAACGGCUCACCAAGGCAAUGAUCGGUAGCUGGUCUGAGAGGAUGAUCAGCCACACUGGAACUGAGACACGGUCCAGACUCCUACGGGAGGCAGCAGUGGGGAAUCUUGCGCAAUGGGCGAAAGCCUGACGCAGCGACGCCGCGUGGGGGAUGAAGCUUCUCGGAGUGUAAACCCCUUUCGACUGGGACGAAUGCCCGCAAGGGAGUGACGGUACCAGUAGAAGAAGCCCCGGCUAACUACGUGCCAGCAGCCGCGGUAAGACGUAGGGGGCCAGCGUUGUUCGGAAUUACUGGGUGUAAAGGGUUCGUAGGCGGUGUGGCAAGUUGGGAGUGAAAUCUCUGGGCUUAACUCAGAGGCUGCUUCCAAAACUGCUGUGCUUGAGUGUGGGAGAGGCGCGUGGAAUUGCAGGUGUAGCGGUGAAAUGCGUAGAUAUCUGCAGGAACACCCGUGGCGAAAGCGGCGCGCUGGACCACAACUGACGCUGAGGAACGAAAGCUAGGGGAGCAAACAGGAUUAGAUACCCUGGUAGUCCUAGCCCUAAACGAUCAGGACUUGGGGUGCCGCCCGUUCGGGCGUCGUCCCGGAGCUAACGCGUUAAGUCCUGCACCUGGGGAGUACGGUCGCAAGACUGAAACUCAAAGGAAUUGACGGGGGCCCGCACAAGCGGUGGAACAUGUGGUUCAAUUCGA
rnacentral:rRNA from 1 species